UGGGUUUCUCUUGGUGACACCAGGGCAUGGGUUGGGAAGGCCAAGGUGAGGUGGCCUUCACCGCACGGGGCAUGUGGCCGCCUCAGCCGUGGUGAUACUCACCUGCAUCACCGGGUCAAGGCCGUGUUUGCCUGGUUUCUUCACCAUCCAGUUAGUACUUCCCUUUCCCUACUCUAUCCUGCAGAAGCACGGCACUAGGUCUAGCCCAUUCUUUAAGGGGUGGGGUGGGAAUUAACCCCGAUCUCCUGUAAGAGGGAUAUCUACACAUAAGAUUUGGAAUUCUGUAAGAAAUAUGUCUCCUUUCCUCUUCAUUAUUCAAUCAUCUACAUCAGGAUCAACUCAUGUUUGUGUUGUCAUUUGGUUUAUAAUCCAAGACUACAUUAGUUUUUUGCUCAAAUUGUUCCAGCUUUGGCCCUGGGAGCUCUGACAGGUUGAUUCCUGUGAUCUGUGAGAUGUGCCUGUCCUUUUGUUUCUUGAGAAUUUCCUUACUUGCUGGUCCCAAGGCCACAUUUAAGUCACCUAAGAAUGGCGCACACAGUGAAAUUCUCCACGAGAUAGAAUGUAUACUUGGCAUCUUUCUCCAUCAGAGACUACAGGAAGAAAGGUUUUCAUUUCUCACUUUUAAUUAUUGUUGAGUGGUUAGGAUUCAUAUCAGAUAAGCAUGUACUGCUUCUAGUUGCAACAAUCCUAUGGGCACUUAUACACAGUCACAUGCUCUUGUUUUAAAAACAGACUUUAUGCACUUGGUGUGUAUUCAGUGAUUGUUUGGGAGGUUUUGCUCAGUUUGGAACAUUUCUACAGUCGACAGUUCUAGUCAAUUGAUAAAAUAUUAAUUUUCAUUAUUAAUUGGUGUUCCAUUUUUAUAAAAAACAGUUCUGAGAACCAAUUUAAAGUGCGUUGACUACAGAUGCUGUCAGCAGAACGUGCCAACUGUGAAGCUGUUUGAAACCCACUCCCGGUGGAAACGGCAGUGGGAAGUGACCGAAGCAAAUCCCGCUUUUACCUGGAAAUCCCCAAAACAGUCAGUGGAGUCACAGAAGCAUCUCAGUUAACCCUCGUGUUACACACAGCAAUGAGACUCGUCAGACUGUAUCCAGGCUUCAGAGGAGGUAACUGAAGGACCCCUCUCUGUGCCAGUUUUGCUUAUGGUGUCAAAGCAACCACGAACGACAGACCAGCUACACACUGGAAAGGAAGUCCAAUCCACCUGGCGUCAGCACCCAAGAAGUCAGAAGUUAAUAAUCAUUUACCUAAACAAAGCCCUUUCUGACUGUGCUGCGGGAGACCCACUGUGGCACCCCAUCCUCUCCAGUGGAGCCCCCACCGCACCCACGACAGGGCCGGAUCCGCCUGCUUGGUGUGCCCUCGACUGCAAAUGAAAACGUUUUCAGUUCCACUGCCAGUGGCUGGUUGUGUUGAUCCAGCUCGUUUCCAGCACCACAGAUGUUCCUUUACGGGAUAACCAUCCCGAGGAGCUUGGGGGUCGUCACAUCGGCUGGUUACCAUGCAGCACCUGCCGCAUAUCCUGCAGACACUGACACUCAGUAUUUUUAGUAAAACGGAGUUUCUAAUAACCACAGAUAUUAAGCGUGAGGGAAGGGCUUUUCUCUCAUUAAUUAAUAGCCUUAACCCAUAUUUAGCAGAUUAAAAAUUCAUGUGUUUACAUCUGCUGCCAGUGCUUCUAAACUGUUUAUCUAUGUAAAUUAAAGCAAGUUUGAGCUCCCAAACACUGUGAU